rnacentral:rRNA from 1 species
AACGAACGCUGGCGGCGCGCUUAACACAUGCAAGUCGAACGAGAAGGCGUAGCAAUACGCUUGUACAGUGGCGAACGGGUGAGUAAUACGUGGGCGACCUACCCUCGAGUGGGGAAUAACCCGCCGAAAGGCGGGCUAAUGCCGCGUACGCUUCCAUCUUUAUGGAGGUGGAAGGAAAGCCGUGCCGUGGGCACGGCGCUCAAGGAUGGGCUCACGUCCUAUCAGCUUGUUGGAGGGUAACGGCCUACCAAGGCUCCGACGGGUAGCCUGGUCUGAGAGGACGAUCAGCCACACUGGGCACUGCGACACGGGCCAGACUCCUACGGGAGGCAGCAGUGAGGAAUAUUGCGC